UUCCGGUUGAUCCUGCCGGAGGUUACUGCUAUCGAGGUUCGACUAAGCCAUGCGAGUCGAAUGUCCGUAAGGACAUGGCGAACUGCUCAGUAACACGUGGACAACCUGCCCUUUGGACAGGGAUACCCCUGGGAAACUGGGACUAAUCCCUGAUAAGUCUCCGUAGCUGGAAUGCUCGGAGACGGAAAGCUCCGGCGCCACAGGAUGGGUCUGCGGCCUAUCAGGGUAGUAGUGGGUGUAGAGUACCUACUAGCCUACGACGGGUACGGGUUGUGAGAGCAAGAGCCCGGAGAUGGAUUCUGAGACACGAAUCCAGGCCCUACGGGGUGCAGCAGGCGCGAAAACUUUACAAUGCGGGACACCGCGAUAAGGGGACCUCGAGUGCUGGCAUACAAUGCUGGCUGUCCAGCUGCCUAAAUAUUAGUUGAUAGCAAGGGCCGGGCAAGACCGGUGCCAGCCGCCGCGGUAACACCGGUGGCUCGAGUGGUAACCGCUAUUAUUGGGUC
rnacentral:rRNA from 1 species